rnacentral:sRNA from 1 species
GCUGGGUGCAGUGGCACACGCCUGUAAUCCCAGCAGCUUGGGACGCUGAGGCAGGAGUAUUGCAAGUUCAAAGCCACCCUCAGAAACUCAGUAGGCCCUCAGCAACUUAGCAAGACCCUGUCUCUA